AUACGUAGGGGGCAAGCGUUAUCCGGAUUUAUUGGGUUUAAAGGGAGCGCAGGCGGAGAUGCAAGCGUGACGUCAAAUUUCGGGGCUCAACCCCGUCUCGCGUCGCGAACUGCGUCCCUUGGUUGCGGGAAGGGGAGGCGGAACGUGUGGGGUAGCGGGCAAAUGCAUAGAUAUCACGAGGAACUCCGAUUGCGCAGGCAGCUUACUAAACUACUACUGACGCUCAGGCACGAAGGCGUGGGGAUCAAACAGGAUUAGAUACCCUGGUAGUCCACGCAGUAAACGAUGAUUACUAGCUGUUUGCGAUACAAUGUAAGCGGCUGAGCGAAAGCGUUAAGUAAUCCACCUGGGGAGUACGUUCGCAAGAAUGAAACUCAAAGGAAUUGACGGGG
rnacentral:rRNA from 1 species